GGUGAAAUCCUGUAGCUUAACUGUGGGAAUUGCUGGAGAUACUAUUAGACUUGAGACCGGGAGAGGUUAGAGGUACUCCCAGGGUAGAGGUGAAAUUCUGUAAUCCUGGGAGGACCGCCUGUUGCGAAGGCGUCUAACUGGAACGGUUCUGACGGUGAGGGACGAAAGUUAGGGGCGCGAACCGGAUUAGAUACCCGGGUAGUCCUAACUGUAAACGAUGCGGACUUGGUGUUGGGGUGGCUUUGAGCUGCUCCAGUGCCGAAGGGAAGCUGU
rnacentral:rRNA from 1 species